GACCUCGGAUCAGGUAGGGAUACCCGCUGAACUUAAGCAUAUCAAUAAGGGAGGAAAAGAAACCAACAGGGAUUGCCUCAGUAACGGCGAGUGAAGCGCAACAGCUCAAAUUUGAAAUCUGGCCCCGUCGGGGUCCGAGUUGUAAUUGUAGAGAGUGUUUCGGGUGAGACCACGGUCUAAGUCUGUUGGAACAUGGGUCAUAGAGGGUGAGAAUCCCGUAUGUGACCGUGGCUCGAGCCCAUGUGAGCCUCUUCGACGAGUCGAGUUGUUUGGGAAUGCAGCUCAAAAUGGGUGUAAAUUUCAUCUAAAGCUAAAUACUGGCUGGAGACCGAUAGCGCACAAGAGAGUGAUCGAAAGAGAAAAGCACUUGGAAAGAGAAUGAAAAGCACUUUGAAAGAGAGUCAAAAAGUACGUGAAAUUGUUGAAAGGGAAGCGCUUGCACCAGACCUGUCCGUAGGUGAUCAGCCGCUGUUCUCAGUGGUGCACUCGCCUGCGAUCAGGCCAGCAUCGGUUCCGGCGGUCGGAUAAAGGCCUUGGGAUGUAGCUCCCUUCGGGGAGUCUUAUAGCCCUCGGUGCAAUGCGGCCAGCGGGACCGAGGACCGCGCUUCGGCUAGGAUGCUGGCGUAAUGGUUGUAAGGACCCGUCUUGAAACACGGACCAAGGAGUCUAACAUCUAUGCGAGUGUUGGGUGUUAAACCCAUGCGCGGAAUGAAAGUGAACGGAGGUGAGAACCCUUAGGGCGCAUCAUCGACCGAUCCAGAUGUCUUCGGAUGGAUUUGAGUAUAGCAUAGCUGUUGGGACCCGAAAGAUGGUGAACUAUGCCUGAAUAGGGUAAGCCAGAGGAAACUCUGGUGGAGGCUCGCAGCGGUUCUGACGUGCAAACGAUCGUCAAAUUUGGGUAUAGGGGCGAAAGACUAAUCGAACCAUCUAGAGCUGGUUCCUGCCGA
rnacentral:rRNA from 1 species